rnacentral:misc_RNA from 1 species
UGGCUCUGGCAANGAUGAAGAACGCAGCGAAAUGCGAUAAGUAAUGCGAAUUGCAGAAUCAGUGAAUCAUCGAAUCUUUGAACGCACAUUGCGCCCCUUGGUAUUCCGAGGGGCACGCCUGUUCGAGCGCCAUUACACACCCCAAGCUCUGCUUGAUGUUGGGUACUGUCGGAAGACACGCCCGAAACGCAUUGGCGUCCGCCGCCGACCACGAGCGUUGCAAGACUUUGGUCAUCUGCUCGUUUGGAAGGAAGGUGGGCCGCCUUGUAUACCACUACAAAACAUUUUGGCCUCGGAUCAGGUGGGGAUACCCGCUGA